UUUAUACUCCCUCCGUCCGGAAAUACUUGUUCUAAAAAUGAAUAUAUUGGAUGUGUCUAUAACUAAAAUAAGUCUAGAUACACUCAUCUCUAGGACAAGUAUUUUCGGACGGAGGGAGUAUUGG
rfam:Hordeum vulgare subsp. vulgare, WGS project CAJW01000000 data, contig: morex_contig_56624